rnacentral:rRNA from 1 species
GGAGGAAAAGAAACUAACAAGGAUUCCCCUAGUAGCGGCGAGCGAAGCGGGGAAGAGCUCAAAUUUAUAAUCUGGCACCUUCGGUGUCCGAGUNGUAAUCUCUAGAAGUGUUUUUCCGCGUUGGACCGCACACAAGUCUGUUGGAAUACAGCGGCAUAGUGGUGAAACCCCCGUAUAUGGUGCGGACGCCCAGCGCUUUGUGAUACACUUUCAAUGAGUCGAGUUGUUUGGGAAUGCAGCUCAAAUUGGGUGGUAAAUUCCAUCUAAAGCUAAAUAUUGGCGAGAGACCGAUAGCGAACAAGUACCGUGAGGGAAAGAUGAAAAGCACUUUGGAAAGAGAGUUAACAGUACGUGAAAUUGUUGGAAGGGAAACGCUUGAAGUCAGACUUGCUUGCCGGAGCUUGCUUCGGUUUGCAGGCCAGCAUCAGUUUUCCGGGGUGGAUAAUGACGGUUUGAAGGUAGCAGUCUCGGCUGUGUUAUAGCUUUCCGUUGGAUACAUNCNNGGGGGACUGAGGAACGCAGCGUGCUU